ensembl:lncRNA
UCCAGAUGGGCCUCCGUUUAAAUGUAACAGGAAUGCGUAAUACUUUUGGAGGAGACAAAAUAUCAUCAUCACUCAGCUGGGGCUUCUGUGACAAGACCCGGAACCAAAGAGUUUGUCUCAAAAAAUGCUCUGCAUUCACUGGUUACCUAUGUGUGGCUGCAUGGCUCCCAGGCGGAUGGACAGAAGAUGAGCGAUGUUUGUGGCACAGCUAACUGCUGGUAAGUCCUUGGCCAUGGGAGGGGCCAGGUUUCUGUGGGGCAGUGCCUAUGGAGCUGGGGACAAAUGCCAGCCAGGCAUCCUAUGGGUGUUCCACUCCAUCUUGAGCAUAUGACGCUGUGGCUAGAGUUCGUUACUGUCAGGUGCAUACUUGACGUUUGCUUUUUCUGGUGACAAGUUGCUUGAGAAAGCGUGGCUCUUGACAUCUGUAGUGAUCAAAGUUGGGAAGCCAAACUGGGAACAUGGGUUGCUGCACUCAAAGUGUAUGGGCCUAUUUCUAUGGACUUUUUUCCACUUGGAAGUAUCUCUGUGGAAGUUGCACCCUGGAGAUGUUUCAGUUCCCUCCCACCACACUGGCAAGCUCUGCAAACAUUCGUACAGGCAAAUACAAACCUCACUGCUUGCCAAAGGAUGCCCACCUCUGGGAAACCCAUGAUUCAUUCACUGCCUGACCCUUACUUUGUGCUCCACUACACCAACGUGAGUGAGGCCUGUUCCUCCCCACCCAGCUUGGCUCAUCUCAUUAACAUUAACUCAGGGGACAAUUAAACCGUGUUGAGGUCCUGCUGGCCUCCACAGGCAUUGCUUUGGGUAGGUUGUGAUACCACCACAGCCUGCCUUCAGCCUCCUGACAGCCUACUGAAGCAGGCCCUUACUGCCCAUCUCCAAAGGUCCCUCCAUGCAGUGACUGCAUGAAGCACUGCCCUCCAAGAACUGAGUGGAUGCAGUCAGACUGUUAGUAAACAUCAACAGCAACAAAGUGUUUAAGAUAACUUUACAAAUUUAUCAGCAGAGAGAUCAUAUCCACGUUGAUAACAACAAUGUGACACAGUUUGUGAUUGAGAUGGAGGGACUAAACCUCUGUCCUGACAAAUUACACCGUGAGAUGCAUUACCUUGUUUCGAAGCAUUAUUUCUCUGUGGUUUCCAAAAAAACCACGUUUGCUAUUUCUAAAAAUAAACAAGCUACCAGUAAGGGUACAUUUUGUU